GCCACACCUGGCUCGCCCGUCGCUUCAGGCCCGCCAUGCUGGGGGCUCAGGUGCGCAAUGCUUCCCAGAAUCCCUGCUCGGCAGCUGCAAUCCCCACUACACUGUAAGGACGCCGAAAGAACCUUCUCUAGGUACAGGAGGAGACAGAAUGAAAAUACCUUCUUCCUUAUACCAGGCAACAUGGAAAAACCAAGCCUCCUCAAAGCCCCUACAACUUCUUGUUCCCUAUCCCACCUGGUCCUUUUGGCCACCUGUUGAUUAUGAUGAUCCCAGAAAAGCAGGUGGACAGGUUUCACAUUCAACCAAUCAGAAGGCCAGGUUGCUCUAGAGCUCCCUAACUCAAAGUGUCCUGACUUAAACCUUAGGAAAUGAAGAAAUAUUGUUUCACAAAACAGGCUACUGGAAAAUUAGGCAGAAUAUAGGAAAGCACUGUGGUCCUAAUUAUUCAUCAAUGGAUAUCCUAUCCUAUAUAAUAAAAGAGAAACAUGUAAA